CUCGCCGCUUCAACUUUAAUUAGGGAUCUGUAACAUAUUUUUUCAUUCAUCAUUUUUCGUAAUUUUGAAUAAAGAUACUUCACCUUUCCUUUUUCCUGACUUACACCUUUAGUCUGAAGUACGUCAGUGUAGUUCGAGAUUAUCGACUCUUUAGAAUUUUUAUUUCAUCAUGCCGAUGUUUUCUUUUGGUCAGUAUCAUCCUUUUCUGAAGAUGUCGAGGUUUAUACAGAAAGUCGAUCUCAUCUCUCCCUGGAGAUAUCGACGUUUGUAAAAAGUCUAUCUCAUCUUUUUCUGAGGAUGUCGAUGUCGUGUGACUUCUGAUUCUAUCCUUUUCUGAAGAUGUCGAAGUUUGUAAAAAAAAAGUCGAUCUCAUUUCUCCCUGAAAAUGUCGACGUUGUACAAAAGUCGAUCUCAUCUUUUCCUGAGGAUGUCGAUCAGAAUAGUGCUGGAAUUUCGAUCCUGUCCUCUUUUGGAAGGUUUCGAAUUCCUUGGUAAAUGUCGACGUCUAUCCCCCUUCUGGGAAUGUCGAUCUGAACUUUCUAUGGAAUGUCGAUCCUGUCCUUCUCUUUUGAAAGCUUCGAAUUCCUUGAUAAAUGUAGACGUCUAUCCCCCUUCUGGGAAUGUCGAUCUGAACUUUCUAUGGAAUGUCGAUCCUGUCCUUCUCUUUUGAAGGCUUCGAAUUCCUUGGUAAAUGUCGACGUCUAUCACCCUUCUGGCAAUGUCGAUCUGAACUUUCUAUGGAAUGUCGAUCCUGUCCUUCUUUUUUGAAGGCUUCGAAUUCCUUGUUAAAUGUCGACGUCUAUCCCCCUUCUGGGAAUGUCGAUCUGAAAUUUCUGUGAAUGUCGAUCCUGUCCUUC
rnacentral:lncRNA from 1 species